GACGAACGCUGGCGGCGUGCUUAACACAUGCAAGUCGAACGGAAAGGCCCUGCUUUUGUGGGGUGCUAGAGUGGCGAACGGGAGAGUAACACGUGAGUAACCUGCCCUUGACUUUGGGAUAACUUCAGGAAACUGGGGCUAAUACAGGAUAGGAGAUCCUGCUGCAUGGUGGGGGUUGGAAAGUUUCGGCGGUUGGGGAUGGACGCGCGGCUUAUCAGCUUGUGGGUGGGGUAGUGGCUAACCAAGGCAUUGAUGGGUAGCCGGCCUGGGAGGGUGACCGGCCACAUUGGGACUGCGGUACGGCCCAGACUGCUACGGGAGGCAGCAGGGGGGAAUAUUGCACAAUGGGCGGAAGCCUGAUGCGGCAACGCCGCGUGCGGGAUGACGGCCUUCGGGUGGUAAACCGCUUUCGCCUGUGACGAAGCGUUAGUGACGGUAAUGAGUAAAGAAGCACCGGCUAACUACGUG
rnacentral:rRNA from 1 species